CAGAUUUUUUCUUCUAUUUAUUCUCUCUGCCUGCCAGCCCCACCUAUCCUUUUUCCUGCCUUGCUGUUGGCCACUCAGCUCUUUAUUAUCCCAAAUCAGGUGUUAUAGGCAGGCAGUGACACAGCUUAACAACUAAACAAAUGCAACGUGAAAGAAUGUGACACAUAUUUGCAUCGUUAAACAAACAUUCCAUAGUAUAAGUAAAUGUAACACAUCUUUAACUGAUGUUCUACAACAGAGACCCUCAAGUUUGUGAUCCGUGGUCCCCAGGAAUAUGGCACAGUUCUUUUCUCUGUACCUCCUCCCUCCCGUGAGGCAGAGGAUAUGACUCUGAGCCUCAUGGAACUCACCCAUCAUCCUAAAUCUGAGAAAGCUGACGAUGGGAAACAUCAGCAGAAAAGCAGAAGCAGAAUGGAGUAGCAUGUCUGUUGUUCCUCGACCCCUGCUUCAGUGAAGGUGUCAUUCAAGAUCUGCAUGACGUAACUAUGGCUCUCAGCUACCGUUCCCUUCUGCAACCUUUACACUCAGAGUUCCGUACCUGCCUCCUGCUCUUGCUGGUCUCUAAGCAUCUCGUCAUCCUUACUCCUACCCUCGUGCCUUCUUCCAUGUGAAGAUGCCGCAAGAGAGAACAUCCUGGGAACCCAGGAGACCUCACCAAACAUCCAAUGCUCUGUCGCUUGAUCUUGCACUUCUUACCUUCCAAACCUGUGAGAAAAUAAAUCUCUUCAUAAAUCA